UGGACUUAAAGUAGGCAACAUCUCUGAGCUAUAGAAGAGACUUGGCCAAUGCCAUUAAUUUGAGACCAUUUCUUAGCCAAUGCCAUUCAUCUGAUACAAGCUAGAGAGACUCCUUUGGUUUAUUUGUUAUACUCAUUCUCUCUUGUCUGAAUUAUUAUUUUGAUCUUAUUGAUAUCAUUUGAUGCUUUCUCCUUAAGUAUGUUUCAAGGGAUAUUUUAUCUGAUACAUCUAAAGGACAUUGAAGACUACUUGCUUUGGAGUGCUUGCUUGGAUGUUUGGUUAUCUUUAUUUGAUACCAUUGGUAUUCUUAUUAAUUGCUUGGAUGAUUAUGCUUUGUUGCCUGCCUAAUAAUCCAAAGGAAAUGGGUUUCUAUUUGACACUUUUGUCUUGUGGAUGCUUCCCAUUGGUUAGAUCUUUUCAACUUUAAACUUUUAAAUCUUGUCUAGGAUAAUCCCUUCAUAUCCUCCUCCUUCAUUAAUUUCAAAACCUAUCUCUCAUUUUCAAAACUUCUUUGCUUGUAUUUUUCAACUUAGACUUGUUUUAAUGAGUAGAAACUUUGGCCUUAUGCCAUUGAUCUUCAAAAUAUUUUCUUAAUCAAAUUUAUAAAGAAACUUAAUCAUA
rnacentral:lncRNA from 1 species